ACUGGGAUGGCCGAGUGUUUAAGGCAUUGGACGUAGGUUCUCAAGAGGCCGAGUGUUUAAGGCAUUGGACGUAGGUUCCAAUGGAUUAAAGUCCUCGUGGGUUCAAACCCCACUCCUGGUA